CAGUCGCCGCGGGAAUACGGAGGGUGCAAGCGUUAAUCGGAAUUACUGGGCGUAAAGCGCACGCAGGCGGUCUGUUAAGUCAGAUGUGAAAUCCCCGGGCUUAACCUGGGAACUGCAUUUGAAACUGGCAGGCUUGAGUCUUGUAGAGGGGGGUAGAAUUCCAGGUGUAGCGGUGAAAUGCGUAGAGAUCUGGAGGAAUACCGGUGGCGAAGGCGGCCCCCUGGACAAAGACUGACGCUCAGGUGCGAAAGCGUGGGGAGCAAACAGGAUUAGAUACCCGCGUAGUCCCUGUCUCUUAUAC
rnacentral:rRNA from 1 species